CGCCAGACUCCUACGGGAGGCAGCAGUGGGGAAUAUUGCACAAUGGGGGAAACCCUGAUGCAGCGACGCCGCGUGAGCGAUGAAGUAUUUCGGUAUGUAAAGCUCUAUCAGCAGGGAAGAAGAUGACGGUACCUGACUAAGAAGCCCCGGCUAACUACGUGCCAGCAGCCGCGGUAAUACGUAGGGGGCAAGCGUUAUCCGGAUUUACUGGGUGUAAAGGGAGCGUAGACGGCGAUGCAAGCCAGAUGUGAAAGCCCGGGGCUCAACCCCGGGACUGCAUUUGGAACUGUGUGGCUGGAGUGUCGGAGAGGCAGGCGGAAUUCCUAGUGUAGCGGUGAAAUGCGUAGAUAUUAGGAGGAACACCAGUGGCGAAGGCGGCCUGCUGGACGAUGACUGACGUUGAGGCUCGAAAGCGUGGGGAGCAAACAGGAUUAGAUACCCGGGUAGC
rnacentral:rRNA from 1 species